rnacentral:rRNA from 1 species
AUUGAACGCUGGCGGCAGGCCUAACACAUGCAAGUCGAGCGAGCGGCGGACGGGUGAGUAAUGUAUGGGGACUGCCCGAUAGAGGGGAAAAACUCCGGAAAAGGUAGCUAAUUCCGCAUUCCAACCGAUAAGCCAUAUGGGAAUAGCUAGUAGGUGAGGUAAUGGCGCACCUAGGGGACGAUCCCUAGCUGGUCUGAGAGGAUGAUCAGCCACACUGGAACUGAGACACGGCCCAGACUCCUACGGAGGCAGCAGUGGGGAAUAUUGCACAAUGGGCGCAAGCCUGAUGCAGCCAUGCCGCGUGUAUGAAGAGGGCCCUAGGGUUGUAAAGUACUUUCAGUCGGGAGGCGUUACCGACAGAAGAAGCACCGGCUAACGCCGUGCCAGCCGCCGCGGUAAUAC